GGGGAAGGAGUGUGUCUCAGAGCUCUAUGGAGAGGCUUGGUGAGCAGUGCAAAGGCUGGUGGAGGGGAACUAUGGAGGACCCAGAGAGACGACAGCAACUCCAGAAGGACUGUAGCAGACAGUGGGGGAGCAGAAGCAUGACCCCCAUGAGAAACAGGAAGCCAAGGCACAGCAUGGUUAAGAGGCCCAACCAAGACUGCAGAAGAAGAGAGUGGCAGAGCAGGAGUCAACAGCAAGCUUUCUCCUGAUUACUAGGUGGGAAACAACACCCUCUAUCAUCUUCAUUCUAGGUUGAGGGAAAGGCUGCCUUUGAAAAACAGGAUUCUGGAGCUUCUACUUGGG